rnacentral:rRNA from 1 species
CACGUAGGGUGCGAGCGUUGUCCGGAAUUAUUGGGCGUAAAGAGCUCGUAGGCGGGCGGCCGCGUCCGGGGUGAAAUCCCACGGCUCAACCGUGGAACGGCCUCGGAUACGGGCGGCCUCGAGGGGGGUAGGGGCAUCUGGAACUGUGAGUGGAGCGGUGAAAUGCGUUGAUAUUCACAGGAACUCCGGUGGCGAAGGCGAGGUGCUGGACCCCAUCUGACGCCGAGGCGCGAAAGCCAGGGGAGCAAACGGG